rnacentral:rRNA from 1 species
AUUGAACGCUGGCGGCAGGCUUAACAAAUGCAAGUCGGACGAGUGGCGGACGGGUGAGUAAUGUCUGGGAAACUGCCUGCUGGAGGGGGAUAACUACUGGAAACGGUAGCUAAUACCGCAUACCAUCGGAUGUGCCCAGAUGGGAUUAGCUAGUGGGGGGGGUAAAGGCUCACCUAGGCGACGAUCCCUCGCUGGUCUGAGAGGAUGACCAGCCACACUGGAACUGAGACACGGUCCAGACUCCUACGGGAGGCAGCAGUGGGGAAUAUUGCACAAUGGGCGCAAGCCUGAUGCAGCCAUGCCGCGUGUAUGAAGAAGGCCUUCGGGUUGUAAAGUACUUUCAGUGGGGAGGCGUUACCCGCAGAAGAAGCACCGGCUAACUCCGUGCCAGCAGCCGCGGUAAUUC